GUUUCCGUGGUGUUCUGGUUAACACGUGCGCCUUCCCCGCGCAAGGUCCCCCGUUCAAACCCAGGCAGAAAUA
rnacentral:tRNA from 1 species